rnacentral:rRNA from 1 species
UGGGGAAUAUUGGACAAUGGGCGAAAGCCUGAUCCAGCCAUGCCGCGUGUGUGAAGAAGGUCUUCGGAUUGUAUAGCACUUUAAGUUGGGAGGAAGGGCAGUAAGCGAAUACCUUGCUGUUUUGACGUUACCGACAGAAUAAGCACCGGCUAACUCUGUGCCAGCAGCCGCGGUAAUACAGAGGGUGCAAGCGUUAAUCGGAAUUACUGGGCGUAAAGCGCGCGUAGGUGGUUCGUUAAGUUGAAUGUGAAAGCCCCGGGCUCAACCUGGGAACUGCAUCCAAAACUGGCGGGCUAGAGUAGGGCAGAGGGUGGUGGAAUUUCCUGUGUAGCGGUGAAAUGCGUAGAUAUAGGAAGGAACACCAGUGGCGAAGGCGACCACCUGGGCUCAUACUGACACUGAGGUGCGAAAGCGUGGGGAGCAAACAGG